rnacentral:rRNA from 1 species
AGUGAACGCUGGCGGUAGGCCUAACACAUGCAAGUCGAACGGCAGCACAGUAAGAGCUUGCUCUUACGGGUGGCGAGUGGCGGACGGGUGAAGAAUACAUCGGAAUCUACUUUUUCGUGGGGGAUAACGUAGGGAAACUUACGCUAAUACCGCAUACGACCUACGGGUGAAAGCAGGGGAUCUUCGCACCUUGCGCGAUUGAAUGAGCCGCUGUCGGAUUAGCUAGUUGGCGGGGUAAAGGCCCACCAAGGCGACGAUCCGUAGCUGGUCUGAGAGGAUGAUCAGCCACACUGGAGCUGAGACACGGUCCAGACUCCUACGGGAGGCAGCAGUGGGGAAUAGUGGACAAUGGGCGCAAGCCUGAUCCAGCCAUACCGCGUGGGUGAAGAAGGCCUUCGGGUUGUAAAGCCCUUUUGUUGGGAAAGAAAAGCAGCAGGUUAAUACCCCGCUGUUCUGACGGUACCCAAAGAAUAAGCACCGGCUAACUUCGUG